rnacentral:rRNA from 1 species
UACGUAGGAUGCAAGCGUUGUCCGGAAUUAUUGGGCGUAAAGAGCGCGCAGGCGGUAUGACAAGUCAGAUGUGAAAGAGGCCGGCUUAACCGGCAAGGGUCAUUUGAAACUGUCAGAGCUAGAGUGCAGCAGAGGAGUAGUGGAAUUCCCGGUGUAGUGGUGAAAUGCGUAGAUAUCGGGAGGAACACCAGUGGCGAAGGCGACUAUCUGGGCUGCAACUGACGCUGGAGGCGCGAAGGCUAGGGUAGCAAACAGG